rnacentral:lncRNA from 1 species
CUUCGUUUUUAGCUGACAUUCUGAAAAAGGUGUGUACCGUGUUUACUCGCAAUUUGCAUGAUUAAUAACAGAUAUCGACUCGUUACCCGGACUACUGCAAACAACAAUUAUUCAGUUAACUGAUUUAGAUGGACAUGAUGGAAGGUAAACGGACAGAAAGUCGCAGGACAAAAAGUCACAGGACAUAAAGUCACAAAUUUGAUAGGACAAAAAGUCACAGGACAAAAAGUCACAAACAAUUUGUUGACAAUUGGUUUGAGUAUAUAUGAAAAAGAUCUUGAAAUAUUUUCUUUUUAUUACAUACAUUCAUUUUUAAUUUAAGGAAAUUGCUCAUAAAGCUUAAUUGAUAAACAUAAUAAAUGGAAAUGUAUUAGAUUUUAAUCUUGCAAAGGAUAUAUUUAUGGGGCCAUAUUUAUUGGCAAAUUGAAGCCAUUUAAGUACCAAGCCACUUUGACAUUUUGUUUUCAUAACAAUUAUUUGAUUAUUAUUGAUAUUUAUUGAAUAAAUUUUAAUUACUAAGUUGCUUCUUAUAUAAAACUUCAAGAAAAAUACAAAAAAAAGUGUUUUCUUGUUCAAAGAAAAAUAAUCUCUAAACUGAAUUGUGACUUUUUGUCUGUGACUUGUUGACCGUGACUUUUUGUCCUGUGACUUUCUGUCCUACAUUCAGAUUAAAUAGGGGUUUGGUUGACCCCGUCUCCUCUUUCUGAGACUACUAUCUCAGUGAUGAACUUAAUGGUUUAUGUAUUGUGCUUGUCAUAUAUGUAUCUUGCAUAAAAGCUCUAGAGCUUAUGUUGUAUUGUAUGUAUAACCAACUUUAAAAAAAAUCUUUUUUGUUUAGCCUGUAACAACUAACGAGUAAGAUUUAGGUUUCUUAUUUUUGUAUUACAAACAAUUAUUACGCCUUGAAAGGAUUUUGACGGCGUCCAAGAAAAAAGUUGAAAUAGCUAACGUAACGGUACCCAAAUUGCACCUAUUUAGCAACACUAGCAGCGAAAAUCUUACAAGAUUUUCUAGACUAAACAAUUUGUUUUUUUAUGAUUUGAUACUAAGCACAUCUUUCAACAUAGGUAAAACUAUUUAGAUAUGCACAAAACGUUCACAGUAUCUAUCAACAGAUGAAGUAUUUACUGAAAAAGGAAAAUGUACUGAAACGUAGCCAUGCGACGUCAUCAAAACGUCAUCUUUUUAAAAUGAGCAAAUACAAUAUGUUACAAGUAUCCAUUUAAAAAAUAAUCAUGAUAAUGAAGAGUAAGCAUGGACUAAUAUCCAAUUGUUCAAAAUAUUUAAAGAAAUUAAGCAAAAGCUCUGUUAUUAGACUUUUGACUAUGUGAAUUUAAGCAUGGAAGCAGAGGGGUCCAGAAAUGACAAUGAAAACAAUUCAAACCAGAAAACUAUCAACCUAAUUUAUGUACAAAAAAUGGAAAAACAGUUAAAUGUUGCACAUAAACAAAGGACAAUCACUGAAUUAUAGGCUCCUGACUUGGAACAGGCACAUAUAUUAUGAAUGUGGCAGGGUAUAAGGAACUAUGAAAAUGUUUAGUUUUUGUGGUUUGGUUUAUUUUCCGGAUACUGUAAGCAAUAAGGCCACUUUAUUUAGUGAACGGAAUGAUUGUAAGAUGCACAUGUCUGUCUGUGAUAUUUUAUAUGACCGUGACCUCAUUUUCAUUAGUCAAUGAAACACUGCAUUGUUUAUCAUAAUUAUGCUUAUAGUUACAGGUAGAUUAUGUUUGUAGGAUAUGUAACAAUUGUAAGGUGUGCAUGUCUCUCUGGCAGAUUCAUAAAACCAUGACCGCAUUUUAUGGUUCUUUGGUCAAUGCUAAGUUUUCUUGGUUUUGUCAUUUUAUCAGAUAUUAUAAGCAUAGGUCUACUUGUUGUACGGAAUGAAUUCAAGGUGUCAUAUAAAAAAAGAUGUCUGUUUGCCAAGGUUAAUUUUACUAAGACCUCAUUUUCAUAAAACAAUGAUAAUAUUAGACAGCAAGAAUGAGGAUCAAGUCGAAGUUAUAUACAAAUGAGGCAAAAUUUUCAGUUGCCUACUUUUUAUGUAUUAGUAGUUUUUUUUGGUCAUUAAAUGAUAUUGUUUACCCUUUUAUGUGUAGGGCAAGAAUAUUGAAGAUAAAGGGAAACUAUAAACAGAAGAAAUUAUCAACAAACAUAGAUUUACAAAGGUCAACAAAGCCUAAAUGGUAAGUCCACUGUUAAAAAAAGUUUUUAGUCCUUGAGUAAUGAUUAAAUAUUUAUUAAAAUAAAAUGUGGUACGAUAAAUGAGAAAACUAUCCAUCAGAGUUCAAUUAAGUGGAUGUAACCAUUGUAAUUACUUAUUAGAGGCCAGUGAUGACCUGUUAGUAAUGAAAAAACUCAUACCCUAUACAUGAUAUUGUAAUCUAUAGAAGACAACGCUAACAAAAUUUGAAACGAAGCAUCAAUUCAAACUUCAAAUAUACCAGACUAAUUUAUAAAAAAACAAAAUAUUAUGAAAAACAAAAAUGACGGAUAUGAAACCACUGAACUAUGUACAAGCUCCUGAUAUUGGACAGGCAUAUUAUGGCUGGGUUGACAUAAAAAUAAGAAGCAGUCUGAUUUCAAAUAAGACUUUUCUCCAAUAGAGAUCAAAUGACAUUUAAGGAGGCUCGAGGUACAUAAAAAUUUCAGAAAAAUAUUAAAUAUUUUUUUUUUCAUAACUAAUUUUAUUUAUAACUUUAUUAGUUUUUACUUUAUCAUAUGGUACAGAAAUCAUUCUACAAAAUCAAUUCGUUUUGUCCCCAGACAACUUUUAAAAUGUAUAUAUUAUGAAAAAGCUCCAAAUUAUCUCCCUUUGGUGCAGAAAUGCCAUUUUUUGGCAUGAGAAUUGUAAUAUCUUUUCCAGCUCAUCAGUGACCUAUAUUUUUUAUUAUCAUUUUCAACUAACUUUACUUAAACUAAACUAAUGUAAAAUUUAAGCGAUUUCUGUAAUUAAGUUCUUUUUUCAUUUCAAAAUGACCUCUAUUUCUCCUAUUAGUUCAACAGAAAAAAAAGUACCUUUACAAAAAUGUAUAUAUGCUUCUUUCAAAGGCGGAUUGUGAGUGUGAAUGAAUGGUGUCCCCAUUUUUUUUAAUUUAAUUUUUCUAUUUUUCUAUAAAGUAUAAGAUAAAGUUCAUUUAUUAUAGAAAAUUAUAGUGUAACCCUAUAUUAAGAAAAAAAAUUGAUUGAAACCUGCGAGCCCCCUUAAUUUAACAAAAAUAGUUCACUGUACAGCCUUUGACAAUGAGCAAACGCUAUACUGGACAGUGGUUUUAAUAACCAUGAUAACAGCACAACAUUUUAACAAAUUGUAAAAUUUUGUUGCAAUGGGCUUAUGUUCUUAUGUUGUACUGUUAUACCACUGUCCCAGGUUAGGGGGAGGGUUGGGAUCCCGCUAACAUGUUUAACCCCGCCACAUUAUUAAUGUAUGUGCCUGUCCCAAGUCAGGAGCCUGUAAUUCAGUGGUUGACGUUUGUUUAUAUGUUACAUAUUUGUUUUUCUUUCAUUUUUUUACAAAAUAAGGCCGUUCGUUUUCUCGUUUGAAUUGUUUUACAUUGUCUUAUCGGGGCCUUAUAUAGCUGACUAUGCGGUAUGGGCUUUGCUCAUUGUUGAAGGUGGUACGGUGACGUUUAGUUGUUAAUGUCUGUGUCAUUUUGGUCUUUUGUGGAUAGUUGUCUCAUUGGCAAUCAUACCACAUCUUCUUUUUUUAUAUUAACUCAAAAGACUGCAACAAGGAACCAAACAAUAACCAGUAAUAUGUAAAUCAUAGACACAAAGCACUGAAAUAAGAGUACUAACAAUAGAUAUUUAAAUGAAAGUUUAUUAAAAUGUUCAUAAACAUGAUAAAAUAGCCAUUUUAUUGCUGUAUUUCUCUUCACUGAUAAUUUUUGAGUUUUGUGUAUUUGUAGGUCAGACAUUUCGGUUUUCAUGGUCAUCAUUCAACAGAUCAAUACUGAACAGAAAACUUGGAAGAUGAUAUUUUUCUCAAUAGGAGUCAUACCAUCACAAUCAUAGAUGCUCAAGAACUUGACAUGUAAAUGCAACAAUGUAAUUAUCAAUUGAAAGAAGGAACGAAUGAAAAAAAUAUUAGUAUGUUGUUGUCCAAAUAAACCUGCUUUGUCUUCUCAUUUGAAUCGCUCCAUCCAAUAAAGAUGUACGGAGGAAGAUCUUUGAAGAACAGAUUGAAAAAUGUUUUGUCAAAGAAUUGCGGGAAUAUUUUAGUGGAUGAAAUUAUUUAUUGACUUGACUCUUAUAUAGUGGACUGAAUAAUUGUACAUAGCAAGCAGCGAAAAAGCAAACUAAAAUUUUAACACAAAAAGUGUUUAAAUUAUAAAUUUGCAAAUAUAAGCAUAAUAUUAUGUACACCACAAAGGUAUAUAAUUCAAAUUGUUUGCAUAUUCAUGUAUUGCAAUGAAACUAUAACAAAGAAAACCUUACUUCAUGAAAAGAGUAAACUAUUCAGUCAGAAUAUGAAAUAUUUU